UACAGAGGGUGCUAGCGUUGUUCGGAAUCAUUGGGCGUAAAGGGCGUGUAGGCGGUUUGUUAAGUCAUGUGUGAAAUCCCUCGGCUCAACCGGGGAACGACGCAUGAAACUGGCAAGCUAGAGUACCAAAGAGGGGGGUGGAAUUCCCGGUGUAGCGGUGAAAUGCGUAGAUAUCAGGAGGAAUACCGGUGGCGAAGGCGGCCUCUGGACGGUGACUGACGCUGAGACGCGAAAGCGUGGGGAGCAAACAGG
rnacentral:rRNA from 1 species